GACGAACGCUGGCGGCGUGCUUAAUACAUGCAAGUCGAACGGAAAGGCCCUGCUUUUGUGGGGUGCUCGAGUGGCGAACGGGUGAGUAACACGUGAGUAUACUGUCCUUGACUUUGGGAUAACUUCAGGAAAAUGGGGCUAAUAUCGGAUAGGAGAUCUUGCUGCAUGGUGGGGGUUGGAAAGUUUCGGCGGUUGGGGAUGGUCUCGAGGCUUAUCGGCUUGUUGGUGGGGUAGUGGCUUACGAAGGCUUUGACGGGUAGCCCGCCUGGGAGGGUGACCGGCGACAUUGGUACUGAGGUACGGCCCAGUCUCGUACGGGAGGCAACAGUGGGAAAUAUUGCACAGUGGGCGGGAGCGUGAUGCAGCAACGCCGCGAGCGUGAUGACGGCCUUCGAGUUGUGAACCGCUUUCGCCUGUGACAAAGCGUGAGUGACGGUAAUGAGUAAAGAAGCACCGGCUAACUACGUG
rnacentral:rRNA from 1 species